rnacentral:rRNA from 1 species
CCUACGGGUGGCAGCAGUGGGGAAUAUUGGACAAUGGGGGGAACCCUGAUCCAGCCAUGCCGCGUGUGUGAAGAAGGCCCUCGGGUUGUAAAGCACUUUCAGUGAGGAAGAACGCCUGGUGGUUAAUACCCAUCAGGAAAGACAUCACUCACAGAAGAAGCACCGGCUAACUCCGUGCCAGCAGCCGCGGUAAUACGGAGGGUGCGAGCGUUAAUCGGAAUUACUGGGCGUAAAGCGCGCGUAGGUGGCUUGAUAAGCCGGUUGUGAAAGCCCCGGGCUCAACCUGGGAACGGCAUCCGGAACUGUCAAGCUAGAGUGCAGGAGAGGAAGGUAGAAUUCCCGGUGUAGCGGUGAAAUGCGUAGAGCUCGGGAGGAAUACCAGUGGCGAAGGCGGCCUUCUGGACUGACACUGACACUGAGGUGCGAAAGCGUGGGUAGCAAACAGGAUUAGAUACCCCAGUAGUA